UACGUAGGGUGCGAGCGUUAAUCGGAAUUACUGGGCGUAAAGGGCUCGUAGGCGGCCAACUAAGUCGGAUGUGAAAUCCCCAGGCUUAACCUGGGAACUGCAUCCGAUACUGGAUGGCUUGAAUUCGGGAGAGGGAUGCAGAAUUCCAGGUGUAGCGGUGAAAUGCGUAGAUAUCUGGAGGAAUACCGGUGGCGAAGGCGGCAUCCUGGACCGACAUUGACGCUGAUGAGCGAAAGCUAGGGGAGCAAACGGG
rnacentral:rRNA from 1 species